rnacentral:rRNA from 1 species
CUAGUUGAUCCUACCAGUAGUUAUAUGCUUGUCUCAAAGAUUAAGCCAUGCAUGUGUAAGUAUGAACUAAUUUAGACUGUGAAACUGUGAAUGGCUCAUUAAAUUAGUUAUUGUUUGUUUGAUGGUGUCUGCUAUUCGGAUAACCAUAGUACUUUUGGAGCUAAUACGUGCAACAAACCUGGACUUCUGAAAGGGAUGCGUUUAUUAAAUAAAAGGUCAACGCGGGCUUUGCCCGUUGCUAUGAUGAUUCAUGAUAACUCGACGGAUCGCACGACCCUCGUGCCAGUUAUGCAUCAUUCAAAUUUUUGCCCUAUCAACUUUCGAUUGUAGGAUACUGGCCUACUAUGGUGGUGAUGGGUGAUGGAUAAUUAGAGUUCGAUUCAAGAGAGGGAGCCUGAGAAACAACUACCACAUCCAAGGUAGGAGGUGGUGACAAUAAAUAACAAUAUUGGGCUCUAUGAUUGUAAUAAUAUGAAUAAGUAUUAUCAAAAUCACUUAACGAGGAUCCAUUAGAGGGCAAGUCUAGUGCCAGUACCCACGGUAAUUCCAGCUCAAAUACCCUAUAUUUAUGUUGUUGCAGUUAAAAAUCUCAUAGUUGGACUUCGGGUGUGUACCAGUCAUCACGCCCCUUCUAUCGGCGAUGCACUUUUUGUCAUAAUUGAUCGGGUCAUGCCUCUGGUGCUUGUACUUUGAAGAAAUUAGAAUGCUAAAAGCAAGCACAAGCUCUGGAUACACUAGCAUGGGAUACCAUCAUAGGAGUUUUGGUCCAAUUGCAUUGGCCUUUGGGAUCAGAGUAACGAUAAACAUGGACAGUCGGGAGGAAUUCGUAUUGCAUAGUCAGAGGUGAAAUUCUUGGAUUUAUGAAAGAGAAACUACUGUGAAAGCAUUUGCCAAAGAUUUUUUCAUUAAUCAAUAAAGAAAUUUGGGGGCUUGAAGACGAUCAGAUACAGUCUUAGUCUCAACCAUCAACCAUAAACGAUGUCGACCAAGGAUUGGCAGAUGUUGAUUAUAGGACUCCGCCAACACCCUAUGAAAAAUCAAAGCUUUUGGGUUCCGAGGGUAGUAUGGUUGAAAGGAUGAAACUUAAAGAAUUGAUAAAAGGGCACCACCAGGUCCAGACAUAGUAAGGAUUGAUAGGCUGAGAGUUUUUUCUUGAUUCUAUAAGUGGUGUGUGGUCGUUCUUAGUUGGUGGAACGAUUUGUCUAGUUAAUUUCGUUAACGAACGGGACCUCAGCCUGCUUCCAUGGCCAACUUCUUAUAGGGACUUGACUACUCAAGAUGUACAAAUCAUUUGGUGUUGCAUCUGACAAUCACUUUGUGACCCUAGGUCAGCCGAGACUACCCAUGAAGUUUAAACAUAUCAAUAAGUGGAAGAAAUUAAACUUACAAAAAUUCCCCUAGUAACGGCAAGCGAACCGAGAUCAACCUAGCUUGAGAAUUCGACAGUUUUGCCAUUCGAAUUGUAGUCUAUAGUAGCGUCU